rnacentral:snRNA from 1 species
GCUCACUUCACGCCCGUGCAUAUACUAAAAAUCGGGCAAUGAUAAGAGGAAGAUUAGCAUGAGCACCUACACAAGGUUGACACACAAAUUCAUGAAGCGAUCCAUAUUAAA